rnacentral:rRNA from 1 species
UACGUAGGGGGCAAGCGUUGUCCGGAAUUAUUGGGCGUAAAGAGCGCGUAGGCGGUCCGAUAAGUCGGCUGUGAAAGUCAGGGGCUCAACCCUUGAAAGCCGGCCGAUACUGUCGGACUAGAGUCCGGAAGAGGCAAGUGGAAUUCCCGGUGUAGCGGUGAAAUGCGCAGAUAUCGGGAGGAACACCAAUGGCGAAGGCAGCUUGCUGGGACGGUACUGACGCUGAGGCGCGAAAGCGUGGGGAGCAAACA